GCGGUCAGCGAUGAGGAACUGAUCUCCUACAUUGUGAACGGUUUGGGCUAUGACUAUAAUCCUUUUUGUGUCAUCUGUUCUUGGCCGUUCUGAACAUACCUCGCUGAGCGAUCUAUAUGCACAACUUAUGGCAUAUGAGA